GACACAGCCCCAUCAUUCUGGGGACACUGAGCUGGUGGGAUUGAACCAUGGCCUGGGUCCCUCUUCUCCUCGUGGUGCUCGCCCACAGCACAGGUUCCCUGGUCCAGGCAGCGCUGACUCAGCAGCCGUCCUCGCUGUCGGCCAAUGUGGGAGAGACUGUCAAGGUCACCUGCUCUGGGCUUAGCAGCAGCUAUGCUUAUGCUGGCUGGUAUCAGCAGAAGGUCCCUGGCAGUGGCCCUGUCACGGUGAUCUACGAUAAUACCAAGAGACCCUCGGGCAUCCCUUUGCGAUUCUCCGGAUCCACAUCCGGCUCCUCGAACACGUUAACCAUCACUGGGGUCCAGGCCGAGGACGAGGCUGUCUAUUUCUGUGGUGGCUAUGACAGCAGCAGUACUGCUGCACAGUGA